CUGCAUUUUACUGUUUUCUCUGGAUGCUGGUGCUGUGUUCGUAGGUUUGCUUUGUCUCCAGCACCCCACUGGUCAAUAGGAACAAGGGAGCAAUUUUCAGAGUUAUUAGCUGUGUUUGAGCUGUGCUGUCUGCCAAAAGAAGAAGUGGCUUUUGGACGCAGAUUUUACCUCGGAUGUAAUGUGGAGAGACACGUUGACACCUCCCUCUGAUAAAGGUGGGUACCAGAGGGCUUCCAAUCCCAACAGUACAAGCCUCUUUGAAAAGUCAUGACUUAAAUGUGAUUUUCAAUUUCUGAAAACACUGAUGAGGUAAAACAAAGCUUUCCAGAGAGAAGAAAGAAGAUUUAAAAAGGCAAUGACUGAUAAGCAAGGCUGAAUGCAAUGCUUCUCCAAACAUGCAGACAUUUUGUGGGGGAAACCAAUAGGUUUCAUAUGCAAUGGUGUCUCUACAUACUCAUAAGUGUGAUUAAAUUCUUAUUUCAAUAACGUUAAACACUUACGAUAUUGCAGGACUUCUCAGAGUCUUCCUAAAUUGACGAGACCAUUCCUCAUUUACCAUCCCCAUCCCCGGCACCUCUUUCCAGAAUGUCCCUGCUCUGGUGUUCAGUGAGACAUAAUUGAGAAGUGCUGGGAUUGUAUCAGCAGGUGAGCUCAGCAGGUGCUACAGAUGUGUUCUUGGGGUUCAGGCACUUCUCAGAGGAGGUAGUUAGCUGUACCAUUUGUUAUUUUAAAUAAAAAUCUGUUUUGAAAAGAAAAUGCCUUAUUUAUGUGCCUAGAUUAUGUGCUUUUUUUUUUUUUUUUUUUUUACCUUUUACUUAGUCAUUCCUAUAGUCAGCCUUAGAUACUUU
rnacentral:lncRNA from 10 species